UACAGAGGUCUCGAGCGUUGUUCGGAUUCAUUGGGCGUAAAGGGUGCGUAGGCGGCGCGGUAAGUCGGGUGUGAAAUCUCGGAGCUUAACUCCGAAACUGCAUUCGAUACUGCCGUGCUUGAGGACUGGAGAGGAGACUGGAAUUUACGGUGUAGCGGUGAAAUGCGUAGAUAUCGUAAGGAAGACCAGUGGCGAAGGUGGGUCUCUGGACAGUUCCUGACGCUGAGGCACGAAGGUCAGGGGAGCAAACGGG
rnacentral:rRNA from 1 species